CCUUUGAGCUGCGUGCUACAGCGAGGCUCAGCUAGUGGGGGCAAAGUUUCAGUGCAUUCCGUUGAUGUAAACGGUGUGAAAACGGAAACAAGUAUGCCGGCUCACUGUGCUGCAUACAAUUACACACUACGUCGUACGAUUGAGACAAGGAAACUUGGAAUGACUUUUCAUAGGUUUCCCAGAGACUAUGGGUUGAGGAGGAAUUGGAAGUUUGUCGGCUUAGACCCGGUGUCAUUCCAUCAGUGUUAAACUUCCCGGCUCAUCUUGGAAGAGUACGUGCCAGAAAGACCACGACCAAGCAGCCUUGAGAUCUUAGGCAGCGUCUCCCUCAGACCAAAGAACUACAGACUCUUCACAACCUGCUCAAACUCUUGGUACAGGACCUCACCACACGGGUCAAGAAGGUUUCCUUCUCAUUUCUACUCUGAAGCUCACCUUCUCCUGCUCAAACUGCUGACAAAUGUUUCUGCUGCUCUAAAGUCUGCUCUCCAGAACUUCCUAAAAACUCUCAAAGUCUCUUCUGCUGCAGGUUGCUUUGUAGAACUGUUCCAGAAAACCUCACUAAACCACAUGGAGGGGCCUCAAGAUAGUCGUCCAAAUGAAACCAUACAAAAACCAAACUAGCACAACCCAAACGCUAAAGUCUCCUGCAGCCUACCAGAGAACCUCUGAGAACAGAGAAUCAGGACAGGAACUCUUACCUUCUGGACAAUCAACAUCAGUUCUCAAACAAGAAUACAGAAUGUGUCUGACCAAAAACCUCUAAAGACUCACUACAGCCAAGAUAAAGACACAACUCAACUGUACCAAAUCCACUAAUCACUGCACACAUUAGCACCAUGUGCUAACUGUGGCUAAAGAACCACAUUUACCAAGACAACUAUCCACUACAAAGCCCUAAAACACGCCAAGAAACACAUUAAAGACGAUUUUACUGCUGGAAGCUGCAAGCCAACGCCUAAAAAACAAACUAAAGCAAUGGAGCCAAACCCGGUUCUGUGGUGAAGAGAAGCAGAGGAAAUGUUUGUCUGCAGCUAAAUAAAGCAGGAAGACACUGAGCUGCUCAGGUGUUCCUGAUAACACCAAGCUGCUCAGGUGUUCCUGAUAACACCAAGCAGCCACCUGGACAGCCAAUAGGAACACAGCUUACUGGAAGUCCAGAGGGCUGGCUUAGUGAAGGAAAUUUAGUUUCAAGUUGAAGCAGAAAGUUAAUAAAGAAAGUUGAAAACCACCUUCUGAUCCCUGAAAUCUCUGAGUUUUCACACAAAGAACACCUGAACAUGUCAAACUGGUUCCAUAGUAGAACCAUCAUUGUAAAAACGUCAUAGUAUGGUGUGUUGCUCAAAAAACAUUAGGACCCAGCUGUCAGGGACAAACAUGUAAGAAACAUGAGAACAGAGAGAACCCAACCAGUAGGUCACAGUUUAUCAUCCCCCAGUCAUCUCCUGAAGUCCAUAUGGUGAGAGACAUCAGUAUCUGGUUGUUAAUUUACCAGAGGAUGCUUAUAAUCAUUCUGAUGUGGUCUGUACUCUACAGUAUUUUAGUGACUCAAUAAAUGCCUAAGUUGUUUUUUAAAAAUGCUUUUUAGUUUUUAAUAAACAUUUAAGAGCCUAUAUGUAAUCAAUAAAUGGCCUUUGUCUAUCUUAAGAAAAAUUCACUCAGAACUCUGAUAUGUUAACAGUACUAAAUAAAUCAAUAAAUA